UACGAAGGGGGGCUAGCGUUGCUCGGAAUCACUGGGCGUAAAGGGUGCGUAGGCGGGUCUUUUAAGUCAGGGGUGAAAUCCUGGAGCUCAACUCCAGAACUGCCUUUGAUACUGGGGAGCUCGAGUCCGGAAGAGGUGAGUGGAACUCCGAGUGUAGAGGUGAAAUUCGUAGAUAUUCGGAAGAACACCAGUGGCGAAGGCGGCUCACUGGUCCGGUACUGACGCUGAGGUGCGAAAGCGUGGGGAGCAAACAGG
rnacentral:rRNA from 1 species